CCCUGGCUCAGAUUGAACGCUGGCGGCAGGCCUAACACAUGCAAGUCGAGCGGAUGACAGGAGCUUGCUCCUGAAUUCAGCGGCGGACGGGUGAGUAAUGCCUAGGAAUCUGCCUGGUAGUGGGGGACAACGUUUCGAAAGGAACGCUAAUACCGCAUACGUCCUACGGGAGAAAGCAGGGGACCUUCGGGCCUUGCGCUAUCAGAUGAGCCUAGGUCGGAUUAGCUAGUUGGUGAGGUAAUGGCUCACCAAGGCGACGAUCCGUAACUGGUCUGAGAGGAUGAUCAGUCACACUGGAACUGAGACACGGUCCAGACUCCUACGGGAGGCAGCAGUGGGGAAUAUUGGACAAUGGGCGAAAGCCUGAUCCAGCCAUGCCGCGUGUGUGAAGAAGGUCUUCGGAUUGUAAAGCACUUUAAGUUGGGAGGAAGGGCAUUAACCUAAUACGUUAGUGUUUUGACGUUACCGACAGAAUAAGCACCGGCU
rnacentral:rRNA from 2 species